rnacentral:rRNA from 1 species
UACGUAGGGGGCAAGCGUUGUCCGGAAUCAUUGGGCGUAAAGAGCGUGUAGGCGGCUUGAUAAGUCCGCCGUGAAAGUCCAGGGCUCAACCCUGGAAUGCCGGUGGAUACUGUCGGGCUAGAGUCCGGAAGGGGCGAGUGGAAUUCCUGGUGUAGCGGUGAAAUGCGCAGAUAUCAGGAGGAACACCGGUGGCGAAGGCGGCCACCUGGGCUGCACCUGACGCUGACACGCGAAAGCUAGGGGAGCGAACAGG